GUGGUUGUAGCUCAGUGGUAGAGUGCUCACCUUGCAUGUGGGAGGCCCGGGGUUCAAUCCUCAGCAUCACA
rnacentral:tRNA from 1 species